CGGCGGACGGGUGAGUAACACGUGGAUAACCUACCUAUAAGACUGGGAUAACUUCGGGAAACCGGAGCUAAUACCGGAUAAUAUAUUUAACCGCAUGGUUCAAUAGUGAAAGACGGUUUUGCUGUCACUUAUAGAUGGAUCCGCGCCGCAUUAGCUAGUUGGUAAGGUAACGGCUUACCAAGGCAACGAUGCGUAGCCGACCUGAGAGGGUGAUCGGCCACACUGGAACUGAGACACGGUCCAGACUCCUACGGGAGGCAGCAGGC
rnacentral:rRNA from 1 species